rnacentral:misc_RNA from 1 species
CCAAUAGCGUAUAUUAAAGUUGUUGCAGUUAAAAAGCUCGUAGUUGAAUUUCGGGAUCAGUAGGUCGGUCGUGCCACUGGUAUGAACUGGUCUCACUGGUUCCUCCCUCGUGACGAACUGCAAUGCUAUUAAUUUAGUGUUGUAGGAAAUCAGGACUGUUACUUUGAAAAAAUUAGAGUGUUUAAAGCAGGCUUUGGCUUGAAUACAUUAGCAUGGAAUAAUGAAAUAGGACGUUCGAUCCUAUUUUGUUGGCUUCUAGGAUUGACGUAAUGAUUAAUAGGGACAGUUGGGGGCAUUAGUAUUCAAUUGUCAGAGGUGAAAUUCUUGGAUUUAUUGAAGACUAACUACUGCGAAAGCAUUUGCCAAGGAUGUUUUCAUUAAUCAAGAACGAAAGUUAGGGGAUCGAAGACGAUCAGAUACCGUCGUAGUCUUAACCAUAAACUAUGCCGACUAGGGAUCGGAUGAUGUUAAUUUUUUAAUGACUCAUUCGGCGCCUUACG